GCCGAGGUGGUGAAAUGGCAGACACGCAGUCUUCAGAAGGCUGUUCACGUAAGUGAGUGUGGGUUCAAGUCCCACCCUCGGCACCA
rnacentral:tRNA from 2 species